UGCAGACUUUAACAUGCAAGUCGAACGGUAACGGGCCUUCGGGUGCCGACGAGUGGCGAACGGGUGAGUAAUGCAUCGGAACGUACCUUUCAGUGGGGGAUAACGUAGCGAAAGUUACGCUAAUACCGCAUAUUCUGUGAGCAGGAAAGCAGGGGAUCGCAAGACCUUGCGCUGAUUGAGCGGCCGAUGUCAGAUUAGCUAGUUGGUGAGGUAAAGGCUCACCAAGGCGACGAUCUGUAGCGGGUCUGAGAGGAUGAUCCGCCACACUGGAACUGAGACACGGUCCAGACUCCUACGGGAGGCAGCAGUGGGGAAUUUUGGACAAUGGGGGCAACCCUGAUCCAGCCAUGCCGCGUGAGUGAAGAAGGCCUUCGGGUUGUAAAGCUCUUUCGGCCGGGAAGAAAUCGCAUGGGUUAAUACCCUGUGCGGAUGACGGUACCGGCAUAAGAAGCACCGGCUAACUACGUGCCAGCAGCCGCGGUAAUACGUAGGGUGCGAGCGUUAAUCGGAAUUACUGGGCGUAAAGCGUGCGCAGGCGGUUUUGUAAGACAGGCGUGAAAUCCCCGGGCUCAACCUGGGAACUGCGCUUGUGACUGCAAGGCUAGAGUACGGCAGAGGGGGGUGGAAUUCCACGUGUAGCAGUGAAAUGCGUAGAGAUGUGGAGGAACACCAAUGGCGAAGGCAGCCCCCUGGGUCGAUACUGACGCUCAUGCACGAAAGCGUGGGUAGCAAACAGGAUUAGAUACCCUGGUAGUCCACGCCCUAAACGAUGUCAACUAGGUGUUGGGUGGGUAAAACCAUUUAGUACCGUAGCUAACGCGUGAAGUUGACCGCCUGGGGAGUACGGCCGCAAGGUUAAAACUCAAAGGAAUUGACGGGGACCCGCACAAGCGGUGGAUGAUGUGGGAUUAAUUCGA
rnacentral:rRNA from 1 species